UUUUUGGGUGGACUCGCGAUCUCGCAUGGCGUACCAUUACUUUCGUGAUGUAGUUACAUUUGACACAACCUAUCAAACAAACAAAUAUGAUAUGCCUUUCGCACCAUUUACGGGAGUUAACCACCACAUCCAGUCGAUACAGUUUGGAUGUGCACUUUUACAAGAUGAGACAGAGGUGACGUUUGUAUGGUUGUUUGAGACAUGGCUUGAAGCUAUGGGAAGACGUCCUCCAACUUCUAUCAUUAUUGACCACGAUUUGGCAAUGAAGGGAGCAAUUGCCCAAGGCUUCCCUAACACUCGUCAUUGACUCUGUAUUUGGCAUAUCAAGAAGAAAUUUGUUGAAAAGUUGUCACAAGUGUACUUCAAGAAAUCAAAAUUCAAGAAGGACGUGAAAAAAUGUAUUUGGACAACAUAUAGGAAAAAGGAUUUUGAAAAAAAAAAUGGAUGGAAUUGAUAGAGAAAAUUAGGUUAGAGAGCAAUGAAUGGCUUCAACAAUUGUAUGAUAUUCGUGAGUCAUGGGUACCCAUUUAUAAUCGUGGCACAUUCUUUGCCGGUAUGAAUACUACUGGACAUAGUGAGGGUGUCAAUUCAUUUUAUGAUGAUUUUGUUACUUCGACGACAAAUCUUAAAGAGUUUGUAGUCAAGUAUGACCAAGCCUUGAAGAGGAUUGUGAAAAGAGAAAAUGAUAAAGAUUUUGAGUCCGAACAUAAGUUUCGGAUGGUGAAUGACAAUGAAUUUUUGUUGAAGCAUGCGGCAAAAGUUUUUAUUAGAAAUGUCUUCAACAAGUUCAAGGGUGAAAUGAGUGGAGUCUUCAAUUACAAAGUUGAAGAGGUGGGAAUGAGAAAUACCAAUGGAAUUCAAUCUUUCAUAGUGAAGUCAAAAGAUCAUGAAGUUCAAAAGUUCGCAGUGACAUUGGAUUUGCAAACAUAUGAGGGUGUGUGUGAAUGCCAAAAUUUUGAGUUUGUUGAUAUAUUGUGUACGCACAUUUUGAAAGUGUUUGUCGGCUAGACAUUGAUGCAAUACCGGACCAUUUUAUUCUUCCACGAUGGAGGCAAAAAGCUAACAAAUUCAGAAUAAUUGAUUCCGAAGGAUUGGUACAUGAUGAUGGCAAAGAAGAAUCCGAGGCAUUAAGGCUUGGCCAUAUGUGUCAAGAAUCUACUAAAUUGGCUUGUUUGGACGCCCCAUCAAAUGAGGCAUACACAAUUUACAUCGAAGCUAUGAAUGAUCUAUCCAAGAAGCUCCUAAAAGUUACUUCGUAUGUGCCUCCAAUCAAUGUUUGUCAUGAAAAAGAUGAUUUACAUUCUACUGAGCCUUCUCAAGUAUUGCUUUCGGAUUCGAACAUCUCACAAACCCAAGGGUAGGAAAAAAGAUGUGAAGAAAAAAGAUGCUAUUAUACACUCCGGAAGAUUGAAAAGUGGUAUUGAGUUGGUAUUAAACAAGAAGAAAAGAAAGUGUCACUUAUGCAAUAAGUUAGGACAUGAUAAGAGAACUUGUCCUUCAAAUCCGAUGAGUAAAACUCACAAAGGCUUAGAAGCGGAAACACAAUAUUCUGAUAGUGACCAAUAGAUGACUUAAUGAGAAUAUGGUAAUUCAAUAUUUGCUUAACCUUCUUGAUUCUUUAGCUAAUUAUGUUGCG